GGUUGCGAUCAUACCAGCACUAAUGCAUCGGAUCCCAUCAGAACUCCGCAGUUAAGCAUGCUUAGGCGAGAGUAGUACUAGGAUGGGUGACCCCCUGGGAAGUCCUCGUGUUGCAACCC
rnacentral:rRNA from 1 species